GAUGAACGCUAGCGAUAGGCUUAACACAUGCAAGUCGAGGGGCAGCAUGGUCUUAGCUUGCUAAGGCUGAUGGCGACCGGCGCACGGGUGCGUAACGCGUAUGCAACUUGCCUCACAGAGGGGGAUAACCCGUCAAAAGACGGACUAAUACCGCGUACACUCUAUGUUGGGCAUCCAAUGUAGAGGAAAUGAAAUUCGCUGUGAGAUAGGCAUGCGUCCCAUUAGCUAGUUGGUGAGGUAACGGCUCACCAAGGCGACGAUGGGUAGGGGAACUGAGAGGUUGAACCCCCACACUGGUACUGAGACACGGACCAGACUCCUACGGGAGGCAGCAGUGAGGAAUAUUGGUCAAUGGGCGAGAGCCUGAACCAGCCAAGUCGCGUGAAGGAUGACUGUCUUAUGGAUUGUAAACUUCUUUUAUACGGGAAUAACAAGAGUCACGUGUGGCUCCCUGCAUGUACCGUAUGAAUAAGCAUCGGCUAACUCCGUG
rnacentral:rRNA from 1 species